GCCCAAUAGAGCUUGCUCCUUUGACGUUAGCGGCGGACGGGUGAGUAACACGUGGGUAACCUACCUAUAAGACUGGAAUAACUCCGGGAAACCGGGGCUAAUGCCGGAUAACAUAUAGAACCGCAUGGUUCUAUAGUGAAAGAUGGUUUUGCUAUCACUUAUAGAUGGACCCGCGCCGUAUUAGCUAGUUGGUAAGGUAAUGGCUUACCAAGGCGACGAUACGUAGCCGACCUGAGAGGGUGAUCGGCCACACUGGAACUGAGACACGGUCCAGACUCCUACGGGAGGCAGCAGUAGGGAAUCUUCCGCAAUGGGCGAAAGCCUGACGGAGCAACGCCGCGUGAGUGAUGAAGGGUUUCGGCUCGUAAAACUCUGUUAUUAGGGAAGAACAUAUGUGUAAGUAACUGUGCACAUCUUGACGGUACCUAAUCAGAAAGCCACGGCUAACUACGUGCCAGCAGCCGCGGUAAUACGUAGGUGGCAAGCGUUAUCCGGAAUUAUUGGGCGUAAAGCGCGCGUAGGCGGUUUCUUAAGUCUGAUGUGAAAGCCCACGGCUCAACCGUGGAGGGUCAUUGGAAACUGGGAAACUUGAGUGCAGAAGAGGGAAGUGGAAUUCCAUGUGUAACGGGUGAAAUGCGCAGAAAAAUCGAGGAACAACAGUGGGGAACGGCGACUUUUCUGGUCCAGUUCUGAGACCCAAUG
rnacentral:rRNA from 1 species